rnacentral:rRNA from 1 species
UACGUAGGGUGCGAGCGUUAAUCGGAAUUACUGGGCGUAAAGCGUGCGCAGGCGGUUCGUUGUGUCGGCGGUGAAAGCCCCGGGCUUAACCUGGGAACGGCCGUUGAAACUGGCGAACUGGAGUGUGGCAGAGGGGGGUGGAAUUCCGCGUGUAGCAGUGAAAUGCGUAGAGAUGCGGAGGAACACCGAUGGCGAAGGCAGCCCCCUGGGUUAACACUGACGCUCAGGCACGAAAGCGUGGGGAGCAAACAGG